GGGGGCUGGGGGAAGAAGGGAAGAUAUUGGCAGAGCAAUAGUGCUGCCACAAAUGCAUGUUUUUUUAACAUAUAUUUCUCUAAAGUUGGUAGAGAAAGAUCUCAACACAGGUUUCAAGCUUUCUGGUGGUCAAAGGAAAGGAGGAAACAUGUUCAGAUGUCUCCAUUAGAUGAAGGGCACCUCGAAGAAUGAACCAUUUCUUCAUCAUUCCAUCAUCUCAGCACCCAGCAUGGUGCCCGGCAUGUAUCCACUACCUCAGUGUAUGAACGCUUGUCUUGCUGUACCCGCAGGGCUUCGAGGUGACGUGCUGAUACAAUCAUGCAUGGGCAGAGUAUUUCCUCAACUGCAGAGUAUUUGAAGAAGCCAGUUACCUAGCAGAAAGCACAAAGGCACUGGAGUGGAGAUGCAUGGGUUACAAAGUCACACCAAGUGUCUCACUCAUUUACAUUGUGGCUUUGGGCAAGUCAUUCAUUCUCCUGAAGCCUCAAUCUUUUUUUGUAUAAAAUAGAGAUAAUGACAUCCUUGCAUUAGAGUCAAUGCAUCUGACUUGCAAAUCUGGUCAGAGAUCUAAGUGAAGCAAAAAGACAAUGAUGUGAAUGAUUGUGAUCAGUGUCACAUAGUAGGUGCUGAAGAAUUAGCUAAAAAUUACAGAAAUAUGCAAACGAAGAAGUGUGAACGGAAAUGCACCCAGAUGAUAAAAUGAGUUUUUAUUCAGGGGUCGCACUACAGUUGUUAUUGCUAUUUUACUUCCACUUUUCAACAUUUCUCUAAUGAAUAUGUAUACAUUUUAGAAAGGAAUAAAAA